AUACGUAGGGGACGAGCGUUGUCCGGAUUUAUUGGGUUUAAAGGGUGCGCAGGCGGCCAUUUAAGUCAGCGGUUAAAUCGUGGGGCUCAACCCCAUUCUGCCGUUGAUACUGGGUGGCUUGAUUGCGGUCGAGGUUGGCGGAAUUCGUUGUGUAGCGGUGAAAUGCAUAGAUAUGACGAAGAACACCGAUUGCGUAGGCAGCUGACCAGAUCGCGAAUGACGCUCAUGCACGAAAGUGCGGGGAUCGAACAGGAUUAGAUACCCUGGUAGUCCGCACAGUAAACGAUGAAUACUCGCUGUUUGCGAUACACUGUAAGCGGCCAAGCGAAAGCGUUAAGUAUUCCACCUGGGGAGUACGCCGGCAACGGUGAAACUCAAAUGAAUUGACGGGG
rnacentral:rRNA from 1 species